AUUGAACGCUGGCGGCAGGCUUAACACAUGCAAGUCGAGCGGAGAUGAGGUGCUUGCACCUUAUCUUAGCGGCGGACGGGUGAGUAAUGCUUAGGAAUCUGCCUAUUAGUGGGGGACAACAUUCCGAAAGGAAUGCUAAUACCGCAUACGUCCUACGGGAGAAAGCAGGGGAUCUUCGGACGUUGCGAUAAUAGAUGAGCCUAAGUCGGAUUAGCGAGUUGGGGGGGUAAAGGCCUACCAAGGCGACGAUCUGUAGCGGGUCUGAGAGGAUGAUCCGCCACACUGGGACUGAGACACGGCCCAGACUCCUACGGGAGGCAGCAGUGGGGAAUAUUGGACAAUGGGGGGAACCCUGAUCCAGCCAUGCCGCGUGUGUGAAGAAGGCCUUAUGGUUGUAAAGCACUUUAAGCGAGGAGGAGGCUACUGAGACUAAUACUCUUGGAUAGUGGACGUUACUCGCAGAAUAAGCACCGGCUAACUCUGUGCCAGCAGCCGCCGUAAGAC
rnacentral:rRNA from 1 species